rnacentral:rRNA from 1 species
UUGUGAAAGAAUACCACCCUGAACUUGACUGAUCAUGUCUGAUCUUGGAAGCUAAGCAGGGUCGGGCCUGGUUAAUACUAGGAUUGGAGCUUAACUCUUAAAAACUAAGUUUGUGGA